GACCUCACGUGGUGGAGCACGCUGGUGCCUCUUUGAUGAGGGCACUAAGUGCAUUGCUAACUACUUCUGAAAGCCGGCACCUCCAAAUACCCUCACAGUGAGGAUUAAGUUUCAACAUAUGAAUUUUGGGGCAACAUAAACAGAAAGUCCACAGCAGAUAUUAAGAAAAAGUUUAGUGUCUUCAUUUCUUUCUAACUAAUCUGUUAUUUGCUGUGAAUUCUCUACACGUAAGUAGUUUUCUGUAGCAGGCAUAGGAUGGGAGUUUUGGGGGACUUUGAAAGAGUCAACAGAAUCCACUGGAUUUAUUUUAAUGUUUUAUACACAAUCUCUGCUUGGAAAAUGCAAGGAAAUUUCGGUGUUUUUCCUAUGUGUUCCCUUUACCUGGUCCUGUGUUCAUGGAGUGGAAGAGUUGAAAAAGGCUGUUAAGAUAGAAAGAGAAUGUGGCAAUGAAGAAAACAGAGAAUCUUCAGACUGUUAAGAUAGAAAGAGAAUGUGGCAAUGAAGAAAAUAGAGAAUCUUCAGAUGCAUAAGGUGGCCUCUAGGUUCUCCUGGGCUGGUAGUCCUUAUUAGCAAUCUUUGCUGCUGCCUCAUCAUCCCUUGGCCCUUAUCUCUCAAUGUCUGCCAGGUUCUGCACUUGGAUUCUUGCCUGGGUUGCCUUCGGCCUCCAUUUCAACAGUGACUUUUACCUUUUGAGCCCUAGCACAUUUAUUGAGGUCUUCUUGGCUCUCAGUAUGGUUACGUCUAUUGACUCUAAAAAGCACGUGGAGAUUUCUGGGUCUCACUAUGCUGAAAGGAGAUGAAAGAUAUUCAAGAGUGUCAGCUAAUCCCUCUUCCCAGAUAACAAAGCUGAUCCUCUCUCUUUUCUUUACUGGAACCCACCGACAUGGGAGAAGAGCAUUGUGUGGAGUAUCUCCUUCAUAAAUCUCAGAUAUCCAGUGUCUGAAGACAUAUAAAAUACUUUUAUUACAGGUUUGAAAUUUGCACAAGUCAGAUUAAGACAUCUGCCUAGAUUCUUGCUUUUAUAUAUGUGGCUUACUUCCAUAAAAUCCUGGGACCAGGACAGGUGGUGUUUCCUUCUUUUCUUUCACUGUCUGGUUGGGAAUUCCCUUAUGCUAAACUCUGUCUAUGAUCAGGUCCUCAAAGCUUAGCUCUUGAUACGAUAAACGCAAAGAAUAGGAAUAUAGGAAAUAAUUUUUUUCUAAGCUUUAUAUUCAAAAGCUAAGUAAUUUUCUAUUCUUCACUAUCUUGCAAAAAAAUCCAUUCAUGCAUAUAAUUAAUGAAUUCUUUAAGAUAUUUAAGAACACAAAGGAUGAGUUCAAUGUUAAUUUGUAUAUACGUAUAUACCUAUAUACAUAUAUAUGUGUAUUUCAAGAUAUUUCCUUUGGUACAUUAAUAUGUAGAGAGAGCAGAAUUCUCAGCUGCUACAUAUUUUUGGGGGGAACAUGAUCACGUUUAAAGAAAACUUGUCAAAAAUGUUAAAAAAGGGAAAAAAUGUUGUAGAAGCUUGCUAGUGGCAAAUAAACGGAGGCAAUCCGUAAGGGAAAGGCUCCCUCAUGCAAUAUCCCUAAUGAUCACUUUGCUGGGCUUUACAAGAGUGAUUCUUUUUAGGAGAAAAUUCCCACAAAUUUUGUUAGAAUCUUAAAGUAACUGAAAAAACAGUUUUACAAAUUCUGCUCUAAAUUGCUUAAUCUUCUAGCUCCUUGCCAAGGGGUAAUUUGGGGGAAAUAGCUAUGGGAUAUCCAUAUUGGAAUAUCCAUAUUUUGUACCCCUUAUCUGAAAGAUGGUAAAGCAUUUGCCUAUAAAAAUAAAGGAGGAACUUAGAAUUAUAAGGAAAAAAACCCUUAGCCACCAUCUCUGUCAAAUAUGAUAUACUAUGUUCUAUAUUUGAGAUUUUCUUAGCCAAGUAGAAUUUUAAUUUUGAUUUUUGCAUGAGAAUGCUUCUUUUCAAGUACUAGUUAUACCACUUAUUAUUAGAGACAAGUCACUUACUCUUUCUGAGUCUCAAUACCUGUGUCUCUGAAAUGGCUCAGGUGGACAAUAUAUGAGACAGAUGGAAACAAUGUUUUAUUUUUGGAACACAAAUACCCAGUGUAUGUAUUAACAUUAAGGAUAUACUCAUCUGAAAAAAAUCUGUUUUGUGAGCGUUUGUAGAGACUUCUAUAGAGAGAAUUCUAUAUUUUUAAUUGGUAAAUAAACAAGCUACUGAGCUC
ensembl:lncRNA